rnacentral:rRNA from 1 species
CCCCCUAGAUGUUCUGGGCCGCACGCGCGCUACACUGAACAGUUCAACAAGUCUUAACCUUGGCCGAUAGGUCUGGGUAAUCUUUGAACGCUGUUCGUGAUUGGGAUAGACCUUUGCAAUUAUGGGUCUUCAACGAGGAAUUCCUAGUAAACGCAAGUCAUCAGCUUGCAUUGAUUACGUCCCUGCCCUUUGUACACACCGCCCGUCGCACCUACCGAUUGAAUGGUCCGGUGAAAUCUCGGGACGGCGGCUUGGUCGCUUGCGUCCGACUGCUGAAACUUGAUUAAACCAUAUCAUUUAGAGGAAGGUGAAGUCGUANCA